AAUGAACGCUGGCGGCGCGCCUAAUACACGCAAGUCGAGCGAGAAGACGUAGCAAUACGUUUGUAAAGCGGCGAACGGGUGAGGAAUACAUGGGUAACCUACCCUCGAGUGGGGAAUAACUAGCCGAAAGGUUAGCUAAUACCGCGUACGCUCCUUGGACUUCGGUUCAGGGAGGAAAGCGAUACCGUGGGUAUCGCGCUCUUGGUUGGGCUCAUGUCCUAUCAGCUUGUUGGUGAGGAACGGCUCACCAAGGCUUCGACGGGUAGCUGGUCUGAGAGGACGAUCAGCCACACUGGCACUGCGACACGGGCCAGACUCCUACGGGAGGCAGCAGUAAGGAAUAUUGCGCAAUGGGCGAAAGCCUGACGCAGCGACGCCGCGUGGGGGAUGAAAGUCUUCGGAUUGUAAACCCCUUUCGGGAGGGAAGAUGGAACGAGCAAUCGUUCGGACGGUACCUCCAGAAGCAGCCACGGC
rnacentral:rRNA from 1 species